ACUCCUACGGGAGGCAGCAGUGGGGAAUAUUGCACAAUGGGGGAAACCCUGAUGCAGCGACGCCGCGUGGAGGAAGAAGGUCUUCGGAUUGUAAACUCCUGUUGUUGAGGAAGAUAAUGACGGUACUCAACAAGGAAGUGACGGCUAACUACGUGCCAGCAGCCGCGGUAAAACGUAGGUCACAAGCGUUGUCCGGAAUUACUGGGUGUAAAGGGAGCGCAGGCGGGAGAACAAGUUGGAAGUGAAAUCCAUGGGCUCAACCCAUGAACUGCUUUCAAAACUGUUUUUCUUGAGUAGUGCAGAGGUAGGCGGAAUUCCCGGUGUAGCGGUGGAAUGCGUAGAUAUCGGGAGGAACACCAGUGGCGAAGGCGGCCUACUGGGCACCAACUGACGCUGAGGCUCGAAAGUGUGGGUAGCAAACAGGAUUAGAUACCCUGGUAGUCCACACCGUAAACGAUGAUUACUAGGUGUUGGAGGAUUGACCCCUUCAGUGCCGCAGUUAACACAAUAAGUAAUCCACCUGGGGAGUACGACCGCAAGGUUGAAACUCAAAGGAAUUGACGGGGGCCCGCACAAGCAGUGGAGUAUGUGGUUUAAUUCGACGCAACGCGAAGAACCUUACCAAGUCUUGACAUCCUGCGACGGUGCUGGAAACAGUACUUUCCUUCGGGACGCAGAGACAGGUGGUGCAUGGUUGUCGUCAGCUCGUGUCGUGAGAUGUUGGGUUAAGUCC
rnacentral:rRNA from 1 species